UGAGGAAUUUUGCGCAAUGGGGGAAACCCUGACGCAGCAACGCCGCGUGAGUGAAGAAGGCCUUUGGGUCGUAAAGCUCUGUCAACUGGGAAGAAGUUACUUGUAUCCAAUAGGUAUAGGUAUUGACGGUACCAGUGGAGGAAGCGCCGGCUAACUCCGUGCCAGCAGCCGCGGUAACACGGGGGGCGCAAGCGUUAUUCGGAAUUAUUGGGCGUAAAGGGCGCGUAGGCGGUCUUGUCGGUCAGAUGUGAAAGCCCAGGGCUCAACCCUGGACGUGCAUUUGAAACAGCAAGACUUGAAUACUGGAGAGGAAAGCGGAAUUCCUGGUGUAGAGGUGAAAUUCGUAGAUA
rnacentral:rRNA from 1 species